rnacentral:rRNA from 1 species
UACGUAGGGGGCAAGCGUUGUCCGGAAUCAUUGGGCGUAAAGCGCGCGUAGGCGGCCCUGUAAGUCCGUUGUGAAAGUCAAAGGCUCAACCUUUGAAAGCCGAUGGAUACUGCAGGGCUCGAGUUCGGAAGAGGCGAGUGGAAUUCCUGGUGUAGCGGUGGAAUGCGCAGAUAUCAGGAGGAACACCAAUAGCGAAGGCAGCUCGCUGGGACGAUGCUGACGCUAAGGCGCGAAAGCGUGGGGAGCGAACAGG